rnacentral:rRNA from 1 species
GAUGAACGCUGGCGGCGUGCCUAAUACAUGCAAGUCGAGCGAACAGACGAGGAGCUUGCUCCUCUGACGUUAGCGGCGGACGGGUGAGUAACACGUGGAUAACCUACCUAUAAGACUGGGAUAACUUCGGGAAACCGGAGCUAAUACCGGAUAAUAUAUUGAACCGCAUGGUUCAAUAGUGAAAGACGGUUUUGCUGUCACUUAUAGAUGGAUCCGCGCCGCAUUAGCUAGUUGGUAAGGUAACGGCUUACCAAGGCAACGAUGCGUAGCCGACCUGAGAGGGGGUUGCCCCCCUCGGAAGGUGACACGCGGCCCAGACCCUGAGGGAAGGCCGAGAGAGGUAAGGUUCCGAGAAGGGGGGAAGAUUGCCGAAGGGGCGGCGGGGUGAUGAAGAAAGUCUGCGGGUGGGAAAACGGUGUUAUGGGGGAAAAAAAAAUUUGAAAGUAACUAAGCCCGUUUGAAGGUAACCUAUAAAGAAGCCCCGGCUAAACAAGGG